rnacentral:rRNA from 1 species
AUGAACGAUGAACCUCGCUUGUGGGGGGAUUAGUGGCGAACGGGUGAGUAACACGUGAGUAACCUGCCCUUGACUCUGGGAUAAGCCUGGGAAACUGGGUCUAAUACCGGAUAUGACUCCUCAUCGCAUGGUGGGGGGUGGAAAGCUUUUUGUGGUUUUGGAUGGACUCGCGGCCUAUCAGCUUGUUGGUGAGGUAAUGGCUCACCAAGGCGACGACGGGUAGCCGGCCUGAGAGGGUGACCGGCCACACUGGGACUGAGACACGGCCCAGACUCCUACGGGAGGCAGCAGUGGGGAAUAUUGCACAAUGGGCGAAAGCCUGAUGCAGCGACGCCGCGUGAGGGAUGACGGCCUUCGGGUUGUAAACCUCUUUCAGUAGGGAAGAAGCGAAAGUGACGGUACCUGCAGAAGAAGCGCCGGCUAACUACGUGCCAGCAGCCGCGGUAAUACGUAGGGCGCAAGCGUUAUCCGGAAUUAUUGGGCGUAAAGAGCUCGUAGGCGGUUUGUCGCGUCUGCCGUGAAAGUCCGGGGCUCAACUCCGGAUCUGCGGUGGGUACGGGCAGACUAGAGUGAUGUAGGGGAGACUGGAAUUCCUGGUGUAGCGGUGAAAUGCGCAGAUAUCAGGAGGAACACCGAUGGCGAAGGCAGGUCUCUGGGCAUUAACUGACGCUGAGGAGCGAAAGCAUGGGGAGCGAACAGGAUUAGAUACCCUGGUAGUCCAUGCCGUAAACGUUGGGCACUAGGUGUGGGGGACAUUCCACGUUUUCCGCGCCGUAGCUAACGCAUUAAGUGCCCCGCCUGGGGAGUACGGCCGCAAGGCUAAAACUCAAAUGAAUUGACGGGG